UACAGAGGUCCCAAGCGUUGUUCGGAUUCACUGGGCGUAAAGGGUGCGUAGGUGGCCAGGUAAGUUUGGUGUGAAAGCUCGGAGCUUAACUCCGAAAAGUCAUUGAAUACUAUCUGGCUGGAGGGUCGGAGGGGAGACUGGAAUUCUCGGUGUAGCAGUGAAAUGCGUAGAUAUCGAGAGGAACACCAGUGGCGAAGGCGGCUCACUGGCCCGGUACUGACGCUGAGGUGCGAAAGCGUGGGGAGCAAACAGG
rnacentral:rRNA from 1 species